AUACGGAAGGUCCGGGCGUUAUCCGGAUUUAUUGGGUUUAAAGGGAGCGCAGGCGGAGAUGCAAGCGUGACGUCAAAUUUCGGGGCUCAACCCCGUCUCGCGUCGCGAACUGCGUCCCUUGGUUGCGGGAAGGGGAGGCGGAACUCGUGGUGUAGCGGGGAAAUGCAUAGAUAUCACGAAGAACUCCGAUCGCGAAGGCAGCCUUCCGGCCCGUCAACGACGCUCAUGCUCGAAGGUGCGGGUAUCAAACAGGAUUAGAUACCCUGGUAGUCCGCACAGUAAACGAUGGACACCCGCGGUUUGGCCUGUAUGGCUGAGCCGCCAAGCGAAAGCGUUAAGUGUCCCACCUGGGGAGUACGCCGGCAACGGUGAAACUCAAAGGAAUUGACGGGG
rnacentral:rRNA from 1 species